UACGUAGGUGGCAAGCGUUAUCCGGAUUUAUUGGGCGUAAAGAGAACGCAGGCGGUCUUUUAAGUCUGAUGUGAAAGCCUUCGGCUUAACCGGAGUAGUGCAUUGGAAACUGGGAGACUUGAGUGCUGAAGAGGAGAGUGGAACUCCAUGUGUAGCGGUGAAAUGCGUAGAUAUAUGGAAGAACACCAGUGGCGAAAGCGGCUCUCUGGUCUGUAACUGACGCUGAGGUUCGAAAGCGUGGGUAGCAAACAGG
rnacentral:rRNA from 1 species